rnacentral:rRNA from 1 species
AACGAACGCUGGCGGCAGGCUUAACACAUGCAAGUCGAGCGCGCCCUUCGGGGUGAGCGGCGGAAGGGUGAGUAACGCCUGGGAACGUGCCCUUUUCUAAGCAACCGCCUCGGGAAACUGAGAGUAAUACCGUAUACGCCCUUUGGGGGAAAGAUUUAUCGGAAAAGGAUCGGCCCGCGUUGGAUUAGGUAGUUGGUGGGGUAAUGGCCUACCAAGCCGACGAUCCAUAGCUGGUUUGAGAGGAUGAUCAGCCACACUGGGACUGAGACACGGCCCAGACUCCUACGGGAGGCAGCAGUGGGGAAUCUUAGACAAUGGGGGCAACCCUGAUCUAGCCAUGCCGCGUGAGUGAUGAAGGCCUUAGGGUUGUAAAGCUCUUUCAGCUGGGAAGAUAAUGACGGUACCAGCAGAAGAAGCCCCGGCUAACUCCGUG